rnacentral:rRNA from 1 species
GAUGAACGCUAGCGGGAGGCUUAAUACAUGCAAGUCGAGGGGUAACAUGGAAGCUUGCUUCUGAUGACGACCGGCGAACGGGUGAGUAACGCGUACAUAACCUACCUUAUACUGGGGCACAUACACUGGAAACGGAGUAAAUUCCCCAUAGUAUCUACGGAUUAAAGCUACGGCGGUAUAAGAUGGAUGUGCGUACUAUUAGAUAGUUGGUGAGGUAACGGCUCACCAAGUCGACGAUAGUUAGGGGGCGUGAGAGCGUGACCCCCCACACGGGUACUGAGACACGGACCCGACUCCUACGGGAGGCAGCAGUAAGGAAUAUUGGACAAUGGGCGGAAGCCUGAUCCAGCCAUCCCGCGUGCAGGAUGACUGCCCUAUGGGUUGUAAACUGCUUUUAUAUACCAAGAAACGCCCUGUAUUUAUAGGGCCUGACGGUAGUAUAUGAAUAAGCACCGGCUAACUCCG